UCCUACGGGAGGCAGCAGUGGGGAAUAUUGGACAAUGGGGGCAACCCUGAUCCAGCAAUACCGCGUGUGUGAAGAAGGCCUGCGGGUUGUAAAGCACUUUCAGUGAGGAGGAAGGUUUAAGCGUUAAUAGCGUUUAGAAUUGACGUUACUCACAGAAGAAGCACCGGCUAACUCUGUGCCAGCAGCCGCGGUAAUACAGAGGGUGCAAGCGUUAAUCGGAAUUACUGGGCGUAAAGAGUGCGUAGGUGGCUGAAUAAGUUAGGUGUGAAAUCCCCGGGCUCAACCUGGGAACUGCGCUUAAAACUGUUCAGCUAGAGUGUUGUAGAGGAAAGUAGAAUUUCCGGUGUAGCGGUGAAAUGCGUAGAUAUCGGAAGGAAUACCAGUGGCGAAGGCGACUUUCUGGACAUUCACUGACACUGAGGCACGAAAGCGUGGGGAGCAAACAGGAUUAGAUACCCUGGUAGUCCACGCCGUAAACGAUGAGAACUUACUGUUGGGUGCGUAAAGGCACUUAGUAGUGGAGCUAACGCGUUAAGUUCUCCGCCUGGGGAGUACGGUCGCAAGAUUAAAACUCAAAUGAAUUGACGG
rnacentral:rRNA from 1 species